GAUGAACGCUGGCGGCGUGCUUAACACAUGCAAGUCGAACGGAAAGGCCCAAGCUUGCUUGGGUACUCGAGUGGCGAACGGGUGAGUAACACGUGGGUGAUCUGCCCUGCACUUCGGGAUAAGCCUGGGAAACUGGGUCUAAUACCGGAUAGGACGAUGGUUUGGAUGCCAUUGUGGAAAGUUUUUUCGGUGUGGGAUGAGCUCGCGGCCUAUCAGCUUGUUGGUGGGGUAAUGGCCUACCAAGGCGUCGACGGGUAGCCGGCCUGAGAGGGUGUACGGCCACAUUGGGACAGAGAUACGGCCCAGACUCCUACGGGAGGCAGCAGUGGGGAAUAUUGGACAAUGGGCGCAAGCCUGAUGCAGCGACGCCGCGUGGGGGAUGACGGCCUUCGGGUUGUAAACUCCUUUCGCUAGGGACGAAGCGUUUUUGUGACGGUACCUGGAGAAGAAGCACCGGCUAACUACGUG
rnacentral:rRNA from 1 species